AAGAGGGGAGGGGCAGGAGCUGGAACUGGAAAAUGGGUUUAGUUACUAGGGAGAAGUCUCACUCCAGCAAGACCUAGGCUAUCGGAUUCCAGUGAGCAAGAUGAAUGCAGAGGGUGUUUCAUGGAAGAUACUUCAAGCUCGAUUAUGUUGUCUCCACGAGAGAAAUCUGACCGUGAUUAAAGCUACCAGCCCAAACAAAGAUGGAGAGAAAAGAGGAGGAUAAGAGGUGCCUGUAUUGACAGUGUGAAUUGAUUCAUAUCUACUGAGGACAGUUUUCAACUUGGUCACCGUAAUGAAAUACCUGACAU